CCCGUCCGCCAAUUCCCAUGUCUUUAUUCCCGUUAAACUCGCAGCUCUCGCGCCUUGUAGAAAUCUUAAUUAGUUCCGUGUGAUUAUUAUGUACGAUCUUGCUCUGGUCGAGGAUUCAUUUCACCGCAACAAUUUUUGUUUAUGGGGUUGUCACGGCAAGAAUUCUAAUGUUGGGCUUUCUUUUAUUAUUGCUUCAUUCCAUGAUUAUUUGUUGUAACAUUAGUAGUAAAUUAAAGAAAUAUAUCUAUGUGUAAUAGUUCUUCGUGGACAUAUAUUUCAGUUAUGAGGAGGCCUUGAAUCUUGAAAUUGUUGUUUUCGGUAGUUAGGAUUUUCAUUACAGUCCUUUUUCUAUUAUUAAUAUAUUAUGGGUAAAUUACAACCAUCCCCUGAG
rnacentral:lncRNA from 1 species